AGAGUUUGAUCCUGGCUCAGAACGAACGCUGGCGGCGUGGAUAAGACAUGCAAGUCGAGCGCUGAUUACAGGGUAGCAAUAUUCUGUGGUCGGAGCGGCGCAAGGGUGCGUAACACGUGGGUAAUCUGCCAUGAAGUUUGGAAUAACUUGCUGAAAGGCGAGCUAAUACCGGAUGUGACGAUCGGAAGGCAUCUUCUGAUUUUCAAAGCUGGGGACCGUAAGGCCUGGCGCUUCAUGAUGAGCCCGCGGCCUAUCAGCUAGUUGGUGAGGUAACGGCUCACCAAGGCUAAGACGGGUAGCUGGUCUGAGAGGACGACCAGCCACACUGGAACUGAGACACGGUCCAGACACCUACGGGUGGCAGCAGUCGAGAAUUUUUCACAAUGGGCGCAAGCCUGAUGGAGCGACGCCGCGUGGGGGAUGAAUGGCUUCGGCCCGUAAACCCCUGUCAUUUGCGAACAAUUCGGUUCAAUUAACACCUGAACCGUUGAUAGUAGCGAAAGAGGAAGGGACGGCUAACUCUGUGCCAGCAGCCGCGGUAAUACAGAGGUCCCAAGCGUUGUUCGGAUUCACUGGGCGUAAAGGGUGCGUAGGUGGUGAGGUAAGUCGGAUGUGAAAUCUCCGAGCUCAACUCGGAAACUGCAUUGGAAACUACCUUGCUCGAGGGUUGGAGGGGGGACUGGAAUGCUUGGUGUAGCAGUGAAAUGCGUAGAUAUCAAGCGGAACACCAGUGGCGAAGGCGAGUCCCUGGACAACUCCUGACACUGAGGCACGAAAGCUAGGGGAGCAAACAGGAUUAGAUACCCUAGUAGUCC
rnacentral:rRNA from 1 species